CCUUUUCUUCCCAGAGGAGAAACAUAUAUUCAUAUUAGGAACACUCCGUAAAAUAGCCACAUUACUGCUUCCAGAUAACUACUACAACUCCAUGCACAUGGCUUGGACUGUGGAGCUUUGGCUUGUUCCCUUUUUGGACAAAUGAAGAGAGAACAUCAGAACAUACAAAUCAGCUUGUGAAAUGCCUUGCUAUAAAAUAAGACAGAGAUCGAGUGCAAGUACUGAUUACUUAAGACAAAAUGGAAAUCUUGAGACCAGUCAAAUGCUGUUUGUUUUGUGCUGGUAUUACCAAUGUGACUUGUGUUCUGCUCACAGGUAUUUCAAGCAGAGUGGAAAGUGCCUUGAAGUGGAUCUACAUGUCGUGCACUUGCUAAGGUAUAAAGGCUGCCUGUGAAAGUCACAUACAAGGUGUCUGUCUUACAGCUUGGACCAGCUGACAAAUCUAAUGUUCUUUCCACCUUCUAAAUACUGCAGAACAGAUGGGCAUGUUUAGAUAAUAUUUCAACCACUAGUGCUGGAAACUUAUGUAUGAGUUACUGUCCUCUGAUAAACUAUAAACAAACAAAUGUGCUAUUGUCUUUGGAGAACUCACUGUAUGUCAGUUAACAUUUCUCCUGAAAGCUUAUAAUUAGGUUCCUCUUAUCAGAAGAAUGUUUUUCUUCUUACCCUGAAGUAAACCAAAUGGAAAUUCAGUAUGCUUUCCUUGAUAUCAAAUUUUGUUUUACUGCCUGUUAUCUAGAAGUCAAAGUAGUGGUCAUUUUUCUGCCACUGUUUCCACAUAAAGCCCUGGUGCUCAGUCUCUGGUUGUUCUGCAGAGCUCCCAUGAGCAGUUUAAAAAAAGAUGGUUUAAUUCAUCAUUUAUUCUUUCUUUCCCUUGGAGAAUCCAGAGCGAUAUAAAUCUGGCUAGCAACAUGAAAGACCUUAUAUACUCUGAAAUGAAUUUGUUUUAUUUCUCACUAAGAUGUAGGAGGUUUUUUGAGAUUACUUGUGUAAAUUGUAUUCAGCUUAUUCCAUCUUGCAUGGUUUAUAAUUAAUGUUGGUUUUGUUUCCUAUCAGCUUUAAAAAGGGUUGCUAAAUGUCUAGUGUGAAGAAGCUGUAAUCAGGUGUCCUCUUGAAAGUGAGGUGGCGUAAUUGUCCACAGCUUCCUUUCUGUCCCUCUGUUUAGAUACCACGUAAGGUGAGGUUUAAGUUUAAAUAGCUUUUGUCAAGGUGCUCUAAGCUGAUGUUGAACCUUGGGGAGAUAAUUUUUACUUCUUUGUGUUGGUUCCAUGUAA